rnacentral:rRNA from 1 species
ACGCUGGCGGCGUGCCUAAUACAUGCAAGUCGAGCGAACGGACGAGAAGCUUGCUUCUCUGAUGUUAGCGGCGGACGGGUGAGUAACACGUGGAUAACCUACCUAUAAGACUGGGAUAACUUCGGGAAACCGGAGCUAAUACCGGAUAAUAUUUUGAACCGCAUGGUUCAAAAGUGAAAGACGGUCUUGCUGUCACUUAUAGAUGGAUCCGCGCUGCAUUAGCUAGUUGGUAAGGUAACGGCUUACCAAGGCAACGAUGCAUAGCCGACCUGAGAGGGUGAUCGGCCACACUGGAACUGAGACACGGUCCAGACUCCUACGGGAGGCAGCAGUAGGGAAUCUUCCGCAAUGGGCGAAAGCCUGACGGAGCAACGCCGCGUGAGUGAUGAAGGUCUUCGGAUCGUAAAACUCUGUUAUUAGGGAAGAACAUAUGUGUAAGUAACUGUGCACAUCUUGACGGUACCUAAUCAGAAAGCCACGGCUAACUACGUGCCAGCAGCCGCGGUAAUACGUAGGUGGCAAGCGUUAUCCGGAAUUAUUGGGCGUAAAGCGCGCGUAGGCGGUUUUUUAAGUCUGAUGUGAAAGCCCACGGCUCAACCGUGGAGGGUCAUUGGAAACUGGAAAACUUGAGUGCAGAAGAGGAAAGUGGAAUUCCAUGUGUAGCGGUGAAAUGCGCAGAGAUAUGGAGGAACACCAGUGGCGAAGGCGACUUUCUGGUCUGUAACUGACGCUGAUGUGCGAAAGCGUGGGGAUCAAACAGGAUUAGAUACCCUGGUAGUCCACGCCGUAAACGAUGAGUGCUAAGUGUUAGGGGGUUUCCGCCCCUUAGUGCUGCAGCUAACGCAUUAAGCACUCCGCCUGGGGAGUACGACCGCAAGGUUGAAACUCAAAGGAAUUGACGGGGACCCCCACAAGCGGUGGAGCAUGUGGUUUAAUUCGAAGCAACGCGAAGAACCUUACCAAAUCUUGACAUCCUUUGACAACUCUAGAGAUAGAGCCUUCCCCUUCGGGGGACAAAGUGACAGGUGGUGCAUGGUUGUCGUCAGCUCGUGUCGUGAGAUGUUGGGUUAAGUCCCGCAACGAGCGCAACCCUUAAGCUUAGUUGCCAUCAUUAAGUUGGGCACUCUAAGUUGACUGCCGGUGACAAACCGGAGGAAGGUGGGGAUGACGUCAAAUCAUCAUGCCCCUUAUGAUUUGGGCUACACACGUGCUACAAUGGACAAUACAAAGGGCAGCGAAACCGCGAGGUCAAGCAAAUCCCAUAAAGUUGUUCUCAGUUCGGAUUGUAGUCUGCAACUCGACUACAUGAAGCUGGAAUCGCUAGUAAUCGUAGAUCAGCAUGCUACGGUGAAUACGUUCCCGGGUCU